UCACGUCCUUUCUAGACGAUCAUCAGGCGAUUUUGUUCACGAUUUUGUUACUGAUUACGUGAUUGCAUCGCCUGAUGAUCGUCUAGAAAGGACGUG